rnacentral:rRNA from 1 species
UGGGAAUAUUGCACAAUGGGCGCAAGCCUGAUGCAGCCAUGCCGCGUGUGUGAAGAAGGCCUUCGGGUUGUAAAGCACUUUCAGCGAGGAGGAAGGUGGUGAGCUUAAUACGCUCAUCAAUUGACGUUACUCGCAGAAGAAGCACCGGCUAACUCCGUGCCAGCAGCCGCGGUAAUACGGAGGGUGCAAGCGUUAAUCGGAAUUACUGGGCGUAAAGCGCACGCAGGCGGUUUGUUAAGUCAGAUGUGAAAUCCCCGGGCUCAACCUGGGAACUGCAUUUGAAACUGGCAAGCUAGAGUCUCGUAGAGGGGGGUAGAAUUCCAGGUGUAGCGGUGAAAUGCGUAGAGAUCUGGAGGAAUACCGGUGGCGAAAGGCGGCCCCCCUGGACGAAGACUGACGCUCAGGUGCGAAAAGGCGUGGGGGCAGCAAAACAGGAUUAGAUACCCUGGUAGUCCACGCUGUAAAACGAUGUCGA